CGGCAACCUUGUAGGCCGUGUCAGUGCUUCAAGGAUGAGCAGCACACUCAAGUGAAACGCCAGCGCUCUCCAAGUGCAGACAUUCUUCCCCAGAAAAGGAGAAAAACCAAGGCCUCCACCUCGGAUGCAGACGACAUGCUCACAAGAC